rnacentral:rRNA from 1 species
UUUUAUGAGAGUUUGAUCCUGGCUCAGGACGAACGCUGGCGGCGUGCCUAAUACAUGCAAGUCGUACGCUUCUUUUUCCACCGGAGCUUGCUCCACCGGAAAAAGAGGAGUGGCGAACGGGUGAGUAACACGUGGGUAACCUGCCCAUCAGAAGGGGAUAACACUUGGAAACAGGUGCUAAUACCGUAUAACAAUCGAAACCGCAUGGUUUUGAUUUGAAAGGCGCUUUCGGGUGUCGCUGAUGGAUGGACCCGCGG